AUAAAAGCAAGCUUAGUUUUUCUCUAACCUGUGACCUUUGUAUUUGCAUUUACCAUUACUUCAAAAUAUGAGGGUAAAAUUAGAUCCUGCAUUUUGUGAUUACUUGCUUAGAAUUGGAGAUAGAAAAGAAAAGGAACAUAAUUCUAAAUGCAUUACGCUUCCAAGAAGUAUUAUCUAUCCAUCUGAAGAUGAAAUUACGUCUUUAAAAAAUUUAAUACAUCAUGUCUUUCCAAAUCUAGAAGCAUAUGCUGAUAAUGCACAUACGAUGGUUAAUUUAGUUAUUCUUAUGCCCAGAAAUGACUGCAUUGAUUAUAUUAACAAAAUUUUACUACAAAUUCCAGGUCAAAUUUUUAAAUACUAUAGUUUUAAUGAAGCAAUCGACCAAUAAGAAUGGAGCCUACAAAACUUUUCCAUCAUUGAUUAAACCUUUCUAUCUGGGAAAGUCGCACUUGUAAACAGAGUGAUCCAAAACAAAGAGAAAGAUAUAUGAAUAAAUAGCCUUAUUUGCAAGCUUCACAAUUAUCUUGACUAAGGUAAACUGUUAUUGCAUCUGUUCAACUAUUAUGUGUUAAAAAUGUCAUGAUUCUAUUAAAAUGGGCUAUUACAACUUUGUCAAUUGAUGUUUUUAUAUUGAGGAUAGUGCCAUGCAUCUUUUUCUUUUUGAACAUUUUCAUACUUUUUCUUUAAAAGUCUCUGAAAGAUCUCUAUCCGGUACCGCCACUAGCCCAAGUGCAUCAGCAACUUCAUAGUUUUUAUGAGCUGAGAUGCUUCCAUCAUGAUAUGUGAUCCGUCCAUGUGACAGUGGAGGGUCAAUUAUUCAUAUCGUUGAUCACUUCUAUCAGAAGGCACCGCCACUAGCCCAAGUGCAGCAGCAACUUCAUAGUUUUUAUGAGCAGAGAUGCUUCCAUCAUAAUAUGUGAUCCGUCCAUGUGACAGUGGAGGCUCAAUUAUUCAUAUCGUCGAUCAUUUCAAUCUGAAGGUCUGGAAUGUGCCAGCCACUUUAUGAAUCAACAAACAUUAUAGCGCACAAAAUAACUAUUGCAGUGAGUAUCACACUUUAAUAUCCUAUGUAGUUGAGGCUUUAUAAAGAUCAUUUGAAGAUUUAUCUAUUUAGUAAAGAUCAAAGUAAGGCUAGAUCUUCUACUCAUUUUGCACUUAUAUAUGUUGCCCAUUUUUUAUUAUAUUUUACAACCGUAGAUGCACUAUGAAAAUUUUAACAUUUGGCCUUUUUAGUUCUUUUUCCAUGCUGCCAAAACGUAUGGUGACUAUUCUUUUUUAUUUUCUUACAAAAGGCACUGCAAUAUAUUAGACAAUUUACUUUUUACUCCUACUCAAAGGUUAGUUAAGUACUUCAGUGAUUCAAUGUUUGUUCCUCGUGUGUUCCCUGUCUUGCCUGUACCAUAGAAGAGAUGAUGACCCAUCUACUAUUUAUUUUUGGUACCCUGUUUUCACACCUGAACUGGUUUGGAAGUAUCAUGCCUCUUCUCAUGCAUUUAUUUGUGUAUUUUCCCAUUCAAAGUGAUUAUUCACUAUUGAAGAACCAGUUCUCUACUGUCGUGCACUGUUGAGUCACCUUUUCAAGUAUGAUUUUAGACAUGUUAACUAUUAAUGUGAAAUUUCAUGUUUAUUUUAUUGACCAACAGCUUUUGUUCUCAAAUAAUUAUAAAGAAAUUAUUUGAAGAAUAAUAACAUGAGAAAAAGUUAAAAAAUACAUGUUUCAUUUACCAAGGUAAUUUCGGUUGUUUCUCUUUAAUACUUAAUACUUAUUUUCUUCCUGUUCAACUUUACCGCAUGCCAUAUACACAAGAAGUCAUUUGCCAAAAAAGAAUCAUCCAAACCUACUUUGGCACACAAGCACGUCUUCAACAUGUUAUAUUGAUAAAUAAGCACUUCCAGACUAUAAUGUUAGCUAUGGGACAGCUUUGUUGAACGAGAAGGUGUUGCUAUAGUUGAAAACCUCACAGCCAAACUUGUGCUAUGGGCCACUGAUCUUAACGUUUCGUCCUUUAACGGUACCUUCAACAUACAUAUAGCAUUUACUUGCAUAUGAUAUUACAUUUACAAAAAAACAUGACCGACUUCAGCUUCAUUUCCUUUUAGGCCUUCCACUUUUCACUAAGGUCAGUAUUACUAUUUUCAUCAAUGCUGGAAUAGUUGCAGUAGCAGAUUACAGAGAAUGGUUUCAACAACUCACUCCUAAUUCUAAACUCUUUCAACCAACAUAAAAAUGUUUGACGAAUAUUUAUAUUCCCUACCUAAUUAUGUCCUUCAUUUCCUACAGGGUGAAAGCAAUUGAAAAACAACUUGAGAAACUAAUAGAGAAUAAACCAUUUGUUGCAGUCACACUGUCACUGCCAAAAGUUUCGCCUCCAGCUCAAAACAAGUUCAUAUCAAAUGCCGAUUUGCUAGGAGUCUGCCCGGGGUUAUCUUCUAAAUAUAUCUUCCAAUGUAUACGGCGUAGAUAGAAUCUCUAUCAUAUUUCAGCAUUAUGAAAACACCCUAACAAUUUCUCACAUACUAAUUUUAUCAUCCAAAUACACAUACAUGUCUUGGUACAGAAAAAAUUUUAUUGCGUAAAAGCCCAUCGGAGAAUUGAUUCGAAUAACAAGAGAUUUUUGUACAUGUCAUGCAGCAAUUGCAAAAAGACAUCCAAUGCAGACUUGAGAUAGGUCACAAAUGCCGCU